CCUACGGGAGGCAGCAGUGGGGAAUUUUGGACAAUGGGCGAAAGCCUGAUCCAGCAAUGCCGCGUGAGUGAAGAAGGCCUUCGGGUUGUAAAGCUCUUUUGUCAGGGAAGAAACGGUGAUUUCUAAUACAGAUUGCUAAUGACGGUACCUGAAGAAUAAGCACCGGCUAACUACGUGCCAGCAGCCGCGGUAAUACGUAGGGUGCAAGCGUUAAUCGGAAUUACUGGGCGUAAAGCGUGCGCAGGCGGUUUUGUAAGUCUGACGUGAAAUCCCCGGGCUCAACCUGGGAAUUGCGUUGGAGACUGCAAGGCUAGAGUUUGGCAGAGGGGGGUAGAAUUCCACGUGUAGCAGUGAAAUGCGUAGAUAUGUGGAGGAACACCGAUGGCGAAGGCAGCCCCCUGGGUCAAGACUGACGCUCAUGCACGAAAGCGUGGGGAGCAAACAGGAUUAGAUACCCUGGUAGUCCACGCCCUAAACGAUGUCUACUAGUUGUCGGGUCUUAAUUGACUUGGUAACGCAGCUAACGCGUGAAGUAGACCGCCUGGGGAGUACGGUCGCAAGAUUAAAACUCAAAUGAAUUGACGG
rnacentral:rRNA from 1 species